ACCGAGUGCCAGCAUCAUAUGCUGGCUGUCCAGGUGUGUAAAAUACACCUGUUAGCAAGGGCCGGGCAAGACCGGUGCCAGCCGCCGCGGUAACACCGGCGGCCCGAGUGGUGAUCGUGAUUAUUGGGUCUAAAGGGUCCGUAGCCGGUUUGGUCAGUCCUCCGGGAAAUCUGACGGCUUAACCGUUAGGCUUUCGGGGGAUACUGCCAGGCUUGGAACCGGGAGAGGUAAGAGGUACUACAGGGGUAGGAGUGAAAUCUUGUAAUCCCUGUGGGACCACCUGUGGCGAAGGCGUCUUACCAGAACGGGUUCGACGGUGAGGGACGAAAGCUGGGGGCACGAACCGGAUUAGAUACCCGGGUAGUCCCAGCCGUAAACGAUGCUCGCUAGGUGUCAGGCAUGGCGCGACCGUGUCUGGUGCCGCAGGGAAGCCGUGAAGCGAGCCACCUGGGAAGUACGGCCGCAAGGCUGAAACUUA
rnacentral:rRNA from 1 species